rnacentral:rRNA from 1 species
GACGAACGCUGGCGGCGUGCUUAACACAUGCAAGUCGAACGGAAAGGCCCUGCUUUUGUGGGGUGCUCGAGUGGCGAACGGGUGAGUAACACGUGAGUAACCUGCCCUUGACUUUGGGAUAACUUCAGGAAACUGGGGCUAAUACCGGAUAGGAGCUCCUGCUGCAUGGUGGGGGUUGGAAAGUUUCGGCGGUUGGGGAUGGACUCGCGGCUUAUCAGCUUGUUGGUGGGGUAGUGGCUUACCAAGGCUUUGACGGGUAGCCGGCCUGAGAGGGUGACCGGCCACAUUGGGACUGAGAUACAGCCCAGACUCCUACGGGAGGCAGCAGUGGGGAAUAUUGCACAAUGGGCGGAAGCCUGAUGCAGCAACGCCGCGUGCGGGAUGACGGCCUUCGGGUUGUAAACCGCUUUCGCCUGUGACGAAGCGUGAGUGACGGUAAUGGAUAAAAAAGCACCGGCUAACUACGUG